AUUGAACGCUGGCGGCAUGCCUUACACAUGCAAGUCGGGCGGCAGCACGGGGGCAACCCUGGUGGCGAGCGGCGAACGGGUGAGUAAUACAUCGGAACGUACCCUGUCGUGGGGGAUAACGAAUCGAAAGAUUCGCUAAUACCGCAUACGACCUGAGGGUGAAAGCGGGGGAUCGCAAGACCUCGCGCGAUAGGAGCGGCCGAUGUCGGAUUAGCUAGUUGGUAGGGUAAAGGCCUACCAAGGCGACGAUCCGUAGCGGGUCUGAGAGGAUGAUCAGCCACAUUGGGACUGAGACACGGCCCAGACUCCUACGGGAGGCAGCAGUGGGGAAUUUUGGACAAUGGGGGCAACCCUGAUCCAGCCAUGCCGCGUGGAGGAUGAAAUACUUUUGUAUGUAAACUCCUGUGAGAAGGGAAAAUAUGCAGAUUUUCUGCGUUGAUUGUACCUUCAGAGGAAGCCCCGGCUAACUACGUGCCAGCAGCCGCGGUAAGUG
rnacentral:rRNA from 1 species